rnacentral:rRNA from 1 species
UACAGAGGUGGCAAGCGUUGUUCGGAAUUACUGGGCGUAAAGGGCGCGUAGGCGGUUCGUUAAGUCCUGUGUGAAAUCCCCCGGCUCAACGGUGGAACUGCACAGGAAACUAGCGGGCUUGAGUUCGGGAGAGGGAAGCGGAAUUCCGGGUGUAGCGGUGAAAUGCGUAGAUAUCUGGAGGAACACCGGUGGCGAAGGCGGCAUCCUGGACCGGUAUUGACGCUGAGGCGCGAAAGCCAGGGGAGCAAAGCGGG